UAGGGCCAUAUCACUUUGAAACACCGGUUUCCGUACGAUCACCGAAAUUAAGCAAUGUCAAGCUUGGCCAGUAGCUAGAUGGGUGACCGCUUGUGACUAUCAGGUGUUGUAAG